AGAGUUUGAUCCUGGCUCAGGAUGAACGCCGGCGGUGUGCCUAAUACAUGCAAGUCGUACGCACUGGCCCAACUGAUUGAUGGUGCUUGCACCUGAUUGACGAUGGAUCACCAGUGAGUGGCGGACGGGUGAGUAACACGUAGGUAACCUGCCUCGGAGCGGGGGAUAACAUUUGGAAACAGAUGCUAAUACCGCAUAACAACAAAAGCCACAUGGCUUUUGUUUGAAAGAUGGCUUUGGCUAUCACUCUGGGAUGGACCUGCGGUGCAUUAGCUAGUUGGUAAGGUAACGGCUUACCAAGGCAAUGAUGCAUAGCCGAGUUGAGAGACUGAUCGGCCACAAUGGAACUGAGACACGGUCCAUACUCCUACGAGAGGCAGCAGUAGGGAAUCUUCCACAAUGGGCGCAAGCCUGAUGGAGCAACACCGCGUGAGUGAAGAAGGGUUUCGGCUCGUAAAGCUCUGUUGUUGGAGAAGAACGUGCGUGAGAGUAACUGUUCACGCAGUGACGGUAUCCAACCAGAAAGUCACGGCUAACUACGUGCCAGCAGCCGCGGUAAUACGUAGGUGGCAAGCGUUAUCCGGAUUUAUUGGGCGUAAAGCGAGCGCAGGCGGUUGCUUAGGUCUGAUGUGAAAGCCUUCGGCUUAACCGAAGAAGUGCAUCGGAAACCGGGCGACUUGAGUGCAGAAGAGGACAGUGGAACUCCAUGUGUAGCGGUGGAAUGCGUAGAUAUAUGGAAGAACACCAGUGGCGAAGGCGGCUGUCUGGUCUGCAACUGACGCUGAGGCUCUAAAGCAUGGGUAGCGAACAGGAUUAGAUACCCUGGUAGUCCAUGCCGUAAACGAUGAGUGCUAGGUGUUGGAGGGUUUCCGCCCUUCAGUGCCGGAGCUAACGCAUUAAGCACUCCGCCUGGGGAGUACGACCGCAAGGUUGAAACUCAAAGGAAUUGACGGGGGCCCGCACAAGCGGUGGAGCAUGUGGUUUAAUUCGAAGCUACGCGAAGAACCUUACCAGGUCUUGACAUCUUGCGCUAACCUUAGAGAUAAGGCGUUCCCUUCGGGGACGCAAUGACAGGUGGUGCAUGGUCGUCGUCAGCUCGUGUCGUGAGAUGUUGGGUUAAGUCCCGCAACGAGCGCAACCCUUGUUACUAGUUGCCAGCAUUAAGUUGGGCACUCUAGUGAGACUGCCGGUGACAAACCGGAGGAAGGUGGGGACGACGUCAGAUCAUCAUGCCCCUUAUGACCUGGGCUACACACGUGCUACAAUGGACGGUACAACGAGUCGCAAGCUCGCGAGAGUAAGCUAAUCUCUUAAAGCCGUUCUCAGUUCGGACUGUAGGCUGCAACUCGCCUACACGAAGUCGGAAUCGCUAGUAAUCGCGGAUCAGCAUGCCGCGGUGAAUACGUUCCCGGGCCUUGCACACAAGGCCCGUCA
rnacentral:rRNA from 1 species